rnacentral:rRNA from 1 species
AUUAAUGGCUUGAAUGAAUGUAUCCAUUUUUUUCAGUGGGCAAGAUCUAUGUAUUUGCGCUCCCAACGGAGUGAAACACAAGAUCAAGAUGUUCAAAAUGAUGAUGAUGCAUUAUUGCACUUGCAGAGUGGCCUACAACAUCUUAGAGAUACUCUUCCUGCAAUGUACAAUCUUGUUGACCGAGCAGAGUGGAGGAGCCAUGAACACCAUGUGGCUGAGCUGCUUCCGAGACUCAAGGAUGCCGUGUAUAAUGCGGAUGACCUUCUUGAUGAGUUUAGGUGGUAUGAGAUGAAGGCUGAAUUGGAGGGAAACACAAGCAAGUCUCCUUUUAGUGACUUCAUUGGUACUCUCAUUCAUGGCAGCUUUGACAAAUUGAAGGAUGUCCGAGAAAGGCUGGAGAAUCUUUCUCGCCAGUUGAAGAGGAUGGGGUUGCAUAAAGUUGUGCAACGAUUUGACAAAUCAGUUAGGCCGGAGACUACCGCUAUGCCAGAUGAAGCAAAAAUAUUUGGUCGUGCUGAGGAGCUAAAGCAAGUGAUGGAAUUUCUCAAUGUCCCUACAAAUGCAAAACACAAGAGAGCAAAAAGUUUAGCCAAUGCAUCAACAAGCUUAUCAGCAAACAACCAAGUUAGUAAUGAAUCAAGAAUAACAUAUCUUCCUGUUUUGCCAAUAGUUGGAAUUGGUGGUGUUGGAAAGACUACUUUGGCCCAACAUAACUACACUGAUCAACAAGUGAAGUCUCACUUUGGCCUGGUAAUUUGGAUUUGUGUCUCGGAUGACUUCAACGUGAAAAGAUUAAUCAAAGAGGUUAUACAAUCAUGUCCUAGAAAAGAGGCAACAUCUGAUAGUGGAAAAGAUGCACCGGCUGAUAAUCUGAAUUCUCUUCAGCUUGCUCUUUCUAAGCAUGUAAACAAUCAAAGGGUCUUGAUUGUCCUUGAUGAUAUAUGGGAUGAUUCUUUGAAGGAAAAUAGGCAGUGCUGGAAUAGAUUUUGUGCACCUCUAAAAAGCGCCCAAGAGGGAAGCAUGAUGUUGGUCACCACUAGAUGUCCAAAUGUUGCUCAGGGAGUGGGCACAGUGAAGCCUAUUAUAUUAGAAGGGUUGAAAGAUGAUGUCUUCUGGAAUUUCUUCAAAUUAUGUGUUUUUGGGUCUGAAAGUUCUAGCAAUGAUCCAAAGUUAGAACUCAUUGGUAAAAGCAUACUUCCUAAAUUGAAGGGUUCUCCAUUAGCCGCCAAAACUCUUGGACGCAUGUUAAGAAUGGACCUUCAAGAAACACAUUGGGAGAGUAUACUUCAUAGUGAAUUGUGGGAGUUGGAACAAGAGGUGACUGAUAUUUUACCUGCCCUUCGAUUGAGCUACAUGUAUUUACUAUUCAUUUUACAGCGUUGCUUCUCAUUUUGUGCUGUAUACCCUAAAGAUUACAAAUUCCAAAAACAAGCCUUGUCUGAAAUAUGGGUGGCAAAAGGCUUUGUUGAAGCUCAAGGUGAUGACUCUUUUCAAAAAGCUGGUUGGCAGCACUUUGAAGAUCUUGUAACUCGGUCAUUCUUUCAAAAAGUUAAUGGUGGAUAUGUAAUCCAUGACUUGCUGCAUGACAUGGCACAAAAAGUUUCAGAGCAUGACUGCUGCAUCUUAAGAAAUAAGAAUGACUAUGAGAAAGUUCCUGAAAAUGUUCGUCGUGUAUACAUAUUUCGUAACAGGAAUGUUGGCAAUUCUGAUUUGGUGAGCCUAUGCAAGCACAAAACACUGCGUACCCUAAUUUGCGAGAAGCAGUUAGGGAGUACAACAAGCACUGUGAUGGACAAGUGGUGUACUAAUCUGCCGCGUCUCCGUGUGAUUUCUCUUACCACUACAAAUGAGUUACCAUAUAGUAUUGGCAACUUGAAGCAUCUUCGGUACCUCAAAAUCUCCGAAGAUUGUUCUUUGAGCAUUCCUUCAAAUUUUUGUUGGCUCUAUAAUUUGCAGAUUUUAGAUGUCACAAACUGCAGUCUAGAAAGCUUACCAUAUGGCUUCAGUAACUUGAGCACUCUACGGAGAUUCGUAUCACAAGGAUUCUCAUAUUCUGCUGAUUGCACAUAUCUGAAUGCAGCCAAUAUGCAGCUACAAGGAACAAAACUAAUCAAGAAUUUAAACCAAAUUCGUGGAUGUUUGGACAUAAUAGAGGUUCGCAUGCUAAGUGAGGAUCAUGCGGCUGAAUUGGAAUUGAAGAAUAAGAAAUAUCUUCACGAGUUGAAACUGAACUGGUCAUUUGAGUCCUCUGCAGUGUUAGAUCCAAACGAGCAGUACAAUGGGACAGAAGUGCUCCAAGUUCUGCAACCUUCUAUAGAUCUCCGGUCUCUAUCCCUCGGGAAAUAUCCAGGUGUCUCUCUCCCAACCUGGUUUGAGCCGCAGAACUUGCCAAGCUUAGUAUCACUUUCUAUUGACAGCUGUUGUGCUCUCAACAGCAUAUCAUUCUACAACAAUAGUCGUAACGUUGGCACUUUCCUUUCCUUGACGAAACUAUACAUUUUGGAGUGCCAUAGUUUAUCAAGCCUCAAACAUUUUCUGCGUCCAGAUUAUGUACCAGCCAUCAAGAGUAUAAGUAUUAAUGGUUGUCAGGGCUUAGUGUCAGUACCAACUGAAAGGUUUGAGGGUUUUCUUUACUUGGAACAUCUGUUUGUUUCUGGAUGCCCAAAACUCAAAUGGGAAAGUGAAUUGUUAUUACCUUCGUCUCUCCAAACUCUCAACUUGAAGGAAUGUGGAGAUUUCUCUGCAUCUGUCCCAAAAUGCCUAGAAAACCUGACAUCCCUAGUGUCGUUGCACUUGGCCGGGUGCCCAAGUCCCAGCUGGCAAAGGGGGGUGAUAUUACCCUCGUGCCUCCAAGCUCUCUACUUGGUGAGAUGUGGUGAUUACUCUGCAUGUGUCCCUGGAUGGCUAGAAAAUCUCACAUCCCUCGUCUCACUGACGAUGAGUGGAUGCCAGGAUAUAACAUCCAUUCCGGGGCACACUUGGCUCAGUAAUCUGGCGUUACUUGAGGAAUUGGUAAUUUGUGAUUGUCCAAGCCUAGUUUCAAUUGGUGGAGCAAAGGCAGUUGCAAAAAUUAAGAAAGUUGAGAUAUACAAGUGUCCAAACUUAAAGGAAGCAGAUCAGAUCAUGCGGAGAGGC